rnacentral:tRNA from 1 species
ACUGUAGCACAGUCGGUAGUGCAUUUGAUUCGUAAUCAAAAGGUCACCGGUUCAAGUCCGGUCAGU